rnacentral:rRNA from 1 species
GGUAUUGAAAUAAGAUUUUAAAUGAGUGCUAAGAGAAUGAUUAAACAAUUAAAAGCUUUCUUUAAUUAAAAAAUUAAAUUUAAUUUUUUUAGUGCAAAAGCAAAAAUAAAAUUUAGGGACAAGAAGACCCUAUGAAUUUUUAUUGUUAAUAAUUAAAAUUUAAGUUAUUAAUAAUUUAAUUGGGGCGAUAAAAAAAGAAUAAGUAUCUUUUUAGUUACAAAAUAAGUUCCGUUUUUAGCGAUUAAAUGAAAUAAAUACUCUAGGGAUAACAGCGUAAUAAUUUUGGAUAGUUCAUAUAGAUAAAAUAGUUUGCGACCUCGAUGUUGGAUUAGGAUUCUUUUUUGGUGAAGAA